rnacentral:rRNA from 1 species
AUUGAACGCUGGCGGCAGGCCUAACACAUGCAAGUCGAGCGGAUGAAGGGAGCUUGCUCCUGGAUUCAGCGGCGGACGGGUGAGUAAUGCCUAGGAAUCUGCCUGGUAGUGGGGGAUAACGUCCGGAAACGGGCGCUAAUACCGCAUACGUCCUGAGGGAGAAAGUGGGGGAUCUUCGGACCUCACGCUAUCAGAUGAGCCUAGGUCGGAUUAGCUAGUUGGUGGGGUAAAGGCCUACCAAGGCGACGAUCCGUAACUGGUCUGAGAGGAUGAUCAGUCACACUGGAACUGAGACACGGUCCAGACUCCUACGGGAGGCAGCAGUGGGGAAUAUUGGACAAUGGGCGAAAGCCUGAUCCAGCCAUGCCGCGUGUGUGAAGAAGGUCUUCGGAUUGUAAAGCACUUUAAGUUGGGAGGAAGGGCAGUAAGUUAAUACCUUGCUGUUGACGUUACCAACAGAAUAAGCACCGGCUAACUUCGUG